AAAGUUGCUGUAGUUAAAAAGCUCAUAGUUGGAUCUUGGGAGCAGCCGGGCAGUCCGCCGGGAGGCAAGCCACCGCCCGUCCCCGCCCCUUGCCUCUCGGCGCCCCCUCCAUGCCCUUAGCUGAGUGUCCCGCGGGGCCCGAAGCGUUUACUUUGAAAAAAUUAGAGUGUUCAAAGCAAGCCGGAGCCGCCUGCAUACUGCAGCUAGGAAUAAUGGAAUAGGACCGGGGUUCUAUUUUGUUGGUUUUUGGAACUGAGGCCAUGAUUAAGAGGGACGGCCCAGGGCAUUCGUACUGCGCCGCUAGAGGUGAAAUUCAAGGUGAAAUUCUUGGACAGGCGCAAGACGGACCAGAGCGAAAGCAUUUGCCAAAAAUGUUUUCAUUCAUCAAAAACGAAAGUCGGAGGUUCAAAGAUGAUCAGAUACCGUCGUAGUUCCGACCAUAAACGAUGCCGACGAAAAAGUUAUUAUAUAAAAAUUUUUAUAAAAAACCUCAUAAUCAUCCACCAGCCUCAGCCUCCCUGACUGCUGGAAUUACACAUGUGCGCCACCACACUGUGUAGAAGGCUGGGGUUUUU
rnacentral:ncRNA from 1 species